rnacentral:rRNA from 1 species
UACGUAGGUGGCAAGCGUUGUCCGGAAUUAUUGGGCGUAAAGCGCGCGCAGGCGGUUAUGCAAGACAGAUGUGAAAUCCCCGGGCUUAACCUGGGAACUGCAUUUGUGACUGCAUAGCUGGAGUGCGGCAGAGGGGGAUGGAAUUCCGCGUGUAGCAGUGAAAUGCGUAGAUAUGCGGAGGAACACCGAUGGCGAAGGCAAUCCCCUGGGCCUGCACUGACGCUCAUGCACGAAAGCGUGGGGAGCAAACAGG